GAACGUGCUCAGCCUGUCUUCUUUCGUUGCUUGCAGCGGAGCCCCGUAUCCAGCUGCCAACUUUGUGCCUGUAUCUGUCUUCUCGCCUCUGCCCUCGGGGUAUGUAACGGCCAUGCCCGUGGACACGCUGAGCCCGGGAGCCCCCACCACUCCCGCUUUACCUUUUCGCCUGCGAACCAAGGUCCCCGGCUACCUGCUACCAAGGCCAGCAGAUGGGGGAGCCAGGAAACCGAGUGCUGUGGAACGCCUGGAGGCUGAUAAGGCUAAGUACGUCAAGAGCCUGCGCGUGGCCAACACCCGCCAAGAACCUGUGCAGCCCCCGCUCGCCAGGCAGCCCCUCUUCAGCCCAGGUUCUCGCGGCCCAGUGCUCACACCCAGUCGCCGAGUCCUGCCCUGUUCUGGUCGCCGGCCCCAACUG
rnacentral:lncRNA from 1 species